rnacentral:rRNA from 1 species
GGGGAAUCUUGCGCAAUGCGCGAAAGCGUGACGCAGCAACGCCGCGUGCGGGAAGACGGCCUUCGGGUUGUAAACCGCUUUCAGUUGGGACGAAGCUUCGCCGGUGAAUAGCCGGCCGGAGUGACGGUACCUUCAGAAGAAGCCCCGGCUAACUACGUGCCAGCAGCCGCGGUAAGACAGAGGGGGCAAGCGUUGUCCGGACUAACUGGGCGUAAAGCGCGCGCAGGCGGCGUCGGGCGUCGGUGCUGAAAGUCCACCGCUUAACGGUGGAUAGCGUGCCGAUACGCCGACGCUGAAGGGUGGGCGAGGGUGGUGGAAUUGCCGGUGUAGUGGUGAAAUGCGUAGAGAUCGGCAGGAACACCCGUGGCGGAAGCGGCCACCUAGCCCGCACCUGACGCUGAGGCGCGACAGCGUGGGGAGCGAAC